rnacentral:rRNA from 1 species
UACGGGGGGUGCAAGCGUUGUUCGGAUUUACUGGGCGUAAAGCGCGUGUAGGCGGUCUGUUAAGUCAGAUGUGAAAGCCCAGGGCUUAACCCUGGAAGUGCGUUUGAAACUGGCAGGCUAGAGUGCGAUAGAGGGAAGGGGAAUUCCAGGUGUAGAGGUGAAAUUCGUAGAUAUCUGGAGGAAUACCGGCGGCGAAGGCGCCUUCCUGGGUCGUAACUGACGCUGAGACGCGAAAGCGUGGGUAGCAAACAGG